GUGACCGUGGCGGAGGAAGCAGCGGUGGAGGAGGAGGUAGCCAACAUUGUUUUUUUAUAUAUAUAUAUAUAUAUUUUAAUUGGGGUAGCCCCCGAAAUAUCGGGACAUAUAAAAAAAACACAACUAUGUUCCGCAGAGUAGCUGUUGACAUUAUAGUUGUGCAGGAACUUUGUUGACUCUAGAGAACCUCGGGCAAAUCGCCCAUCCCCGUGGCGGCGACUUUGCAUGCGGAUGUCAUCCAUAUCAACUUUCGAUGCCAGUUUCUGCGCCUACCAUGGUGAGCAUGGGUAAUAGGGAAUCAGGAUUUCCUUCCGUACAGGGACCCUGAGAAACGGCUACCACAUGCAAGAAAGGCA
rnacentral:rRNA from 1 species